AGGGUUUGAUCCUGGCUCAGAACGUACGCUGGCGGCACGCCUAACACAUGCAAGUCGAACGAAGUAGCAAUACUUAGUGGCAGACGGGUGAGUAACAUGUAGGUAUCUGCCCUUUGGCCUGGAAUAACACGAGGAAACUUGUGCUAAUACCGGAUAAGUCUUUACGGAGAAAGCUUUAUGCACCAUUGGAUGAGCCUGCACUUGAUUAGUUUGUUGGUGGGGUAAUGGCCUACCAAGACUGUGAUCAAUAGCUGAUUUGAGAGGAUGAUCAGCCACAUUGGGACUGAGACACGGCCCAAACUCCUACGGGAGGCAGCAGUGGGGAAUCUUGCACAAUGGAGGAAACUCUGAUGCAGCGAUGCCGCGUGAGUGAAGAAGGCCCUUGGGUUGUAAAGCUCUUUCGUCGGGGAAGAAAAUGACUGUACCCGAAUAAGAAGGUCCGGCUAACUUCGUGCCAGCAGCCGCGGUAAUACGAAGGGACCUAGCGUAGUUCGGAAUUACUGGGCUUAAAGAGUUCGUAGGUGGUUGAAAAAGUUGGUGGUGAAAUCCCAGAGCUUAACUCUGGAACUGCCAUCAAAACUUUUCAGCUAGAGUAUGAUAGAGGAAAGCAGAAUUUCUAGUGUAGAGGUGAAAUUCGUAGAUAUUAGAAAGAAUACCAAUUGCGAAGGCAGCUUUCUGGAUCAUUACUGACACUGAGGAACGAAAGCAUGGGUAGCGAAGAGGAUUAGAUACCCUCGUAGUCCAUGCCGUAAACGAUGUGUGUUAGACGUUGGAAAUUUAUUUUCAGUGUCGCAGCGAAAGCGAUAAACACACCGCCUGGGGAGUACGACCGCAAGGUUAAAACUCAAAUGAAUUGACGGGGACCCGCACAAGUAGUGGAGCAUGUGGUUUAAUUCGAAGAUACGCGCAGAACCUUACCAACACUUGACAUGUUCGUCGCGACUUUAAGAGAUUAAAGUUUUCGGUUCGGCCGGACGAAACACAGGUGCUGCAUGGCUGUCGUCAGCUCGUGUCGUGAGAUGUUGGGUUAAGUCCCGCAACGAGCGCAACCCUCACUUUUAGUUGCCAUCAUUAAGUUGGGCACUCUGAAAGAACUGCCAGUGAUAAGCUGGAGGAAGGUGGGGAUGACGUCAAGUCCUCAUGGCCCUUACGUGUUGGGCUACACACGUGCUACAAUGGUAUCUACAACAGGAAGCAAAACUGCGAAGUUAAGCAAAUCCUUAAAAGAUACCUCAGUUCGGAUUGCACUCUGCAACUCGAGUGCAUGAAGCUGGAAUUACUAGUAAUCGUGGAUCAGCGUGCCACGGUGAAUGCGUUCCCGGGUCUUGUACACACCGCCCGUCACACCAUGGGAGUUGGUUCUACCUUAAGGCAAGGUUUCAUACCCUUGACCACGGUAUAGUCAGCGACUGGGGUGAAGUCAUAACAAGGUAACCGUA
rnacentral:rRNA from 1 species